AUUGAACGCUGGCGGAAUGCUUUACACAUGCAAGUCGAACGGUAGAGGGGGCAACCCCUCGAGAGUGGCGAACGGGUGAGUAAUAUAUCGGAGCGUGCCCAGUCGUGGGGGAUAACGUAGCGAAAGUUACGCUAAUACCGCAUACGAUCUAAGGAUGAAAGCGGGGGAUCGCAAGACCUCGCGCGAUUGGAGCGGCCGAUAUCAGAUUAGGUAGUUGGUGGGGUAAAGGCACACCAAGCCAACGAUCUGUAGCUGGUCUGAGAGGACGACCAGCCACACUGGAACUGAGUCACGGUCCAGACUCCUACGGGAGGCAGCAGUGGGGAAUUUUGGACAAUGGACGCAAGUCUGAUCCAGCCAUUCCGCGUGCAGGAUGAAGGCCCUCGGGUUGUAAACUGCCUUUGUACGGAACGAAAAGGUCUCUCUUAAUACGGGGGACUCAUGACGGUACCGUAAGAAUAAGCACCGGCUAACUACGUGCCAGCAGCCGCGGUAAUAC
rnacentral:rRNA from 1 species